UGCAGAUGAUGUAAAGAAUAUUUGCUAUCUUAGCAAUCAUGCAGACAACCAACCACCAAGAUCGCUGAUGCA